CCCCUAGAUGUUCUGGGCCGCACGCGCGCUACACUGAACAGUUCAACAAGUCUUAACCUUGGCCGAUAGGUCUGGGUAAUCUUUGAACGCUGUUCGUGACUGGGAUAGACCUUUGCAAUUAUGGGUCUUCAACGAGGAAUUCCUAGUAAACGCAAGUCAUCAGCUUGCAUUGAUUACGUCCCUGCCCUUUGUACACACCGCCCGUCGCACCUACCGAUUGAAUGGUCCGGUGAAAUCUCGGGACGGCGGCUUGGUCGCUUGCGUCCGACUGCUGAAACUUGAUUAAACCAUAUCAUUUAGAGGAAGGUGAANUCGUAACA
rnacentral:rRNA from 1 species